rnacentral:rRNA from 1 species
GACGAACGCUGGCGGCGUGCUUAACACAUGCAAGUCGAACGGAAAGGCCCUGCUUUUGUGGGGUGCUCGAGUGGCGAACGGGUGAGUAACACGUGAGUAACCUGCCCUUGACUUUGGGAUAACUUCAGGAAACUGGGGCUAAUACCGGAUAGGAGCUCCUGCUGCAUGGGGGGGGUUGGAAAGUUUCGGCGGUUGGGGAUGGACUCGCGGCUUAUCAGCUUGUUGGUGGGGUAGUGGCUUACCAAGGCUUUGACGGGUAGCCGGCCUGAGAGGGUGACAGGCCACAUUGGGACUGAGAUACGGCCCAGACUCCUACGGGAGGCAGCAGUGGGGAAUAUUGCACAAUGGGCGGAAGCCUGAUGCAGCAACGCCGCGUGCGGGAUGACGGCCUUCGGGUUGUAAACCGCUUUCGCCUGUGACGAAGCGUGAGUGACGGUAAUGGGUAAAGAAGCACCGGCUAACUACGUG